GAGGGUAGAGCUCAGUGGUAGAGUGCAUGCCUAGCAAUGAUGAGGUGCUGGGUUCAAUUCCCCAGUACCCCCA
rnacentral:tRNA from 1 species